CCUACGGGAGGCUGCAGUGAGGAAUAUUGGUCAAUGGACGAGAGUCUGAACCAGCCAAGUAGCGUGAAGGAUGACUGCCCUAUGGGUUGUAAACUUCUUUUAUAAAGGAAUAAAACGAGGCACGUGUGCCUUUUUGCAUGUACUUUAUGAAUAAGGAUCGGCUAACUCCGUGCCAGCAGCCGCGGUAAUACGGAGGAUCCGAGCGUUAUCCGGAUUUAUUGGGUUUAAAGGGAGCGUAGAUGGGUUGUUAAGUCAGUUGUGAAAGUUUGCGGCUCAACCGUAAAAUUGCAAUUGAUACUGGCAGUCUCGAGUACAGUUGAGGUAGGCGGAAUGCGUGGUGUAGCGGUGAAAUGCUUAGAUAUCACGAAGAACCCCGAUUGCGAAGGCAGCUUACUAAACUGUGACUGACAUUGAUGCACGAAAGUGUGGGUAUCAAACAGGAUUAGAUACCCGGGUAGUC
rnacentral:rRNA from 1 species